GACGAACGCUGGCGGCGUGCCUAAUACAUGCAAGUUGAGCGAUGAAGAUUGGUGCUUGCACCAAUUUGAAGAGCAGCGAACGGGUGAGUAACGCGUGGGGAAUCUGCCUUUGAGCGGGGGACAACAUUUGGAAACGAAUGCUAAUACCGCAUAACAACUUUAAACUUAAGUUUUAAGUUUGAAAGAUGCAAUUGCAUCACUCAAAGAUGAUCCCGCGUUGUAUUAGCUAGUUGGUGAGGUAAAGGCUCACCAAGGCGAUGAUACAUAGCCGACCUGAGAGGGUGAUCGGCCACAUUGGGACUGAGACACGGCCCAAACUCCUACGGGAGGCAGCAGUAGGGAAUCUUCGGCAAUGGACGAAAGUCUGACCGAGCAACGCCGCGUGAGUGAAGAAGGUUUUCGGAUCGUAAAACUCUGUUGGUAGAGAAGAACGCUGGUGAGAGUGGAAAGCUCAUCAAGUGACGGUAACUACCCAGAAAGGGACGGCUAACUACGUG
rnacentral:rRNA from 1 species